UUCCGUAGGUGACCUGCGGAAGGAUCAUUAGUGAUUGCCUUAAUUGGCUUAUAACUAUAUCCACUUACACCUGUGAACUGUUCUACUACUUGACGCAAGUCGAGUAUUUUUACAAACAAUGUGUAAUGAACGUCGUUUUAUUAUAACAAAAUAAAACUUUCAACAACGGAUCUCUUGGCUCUCGCAUCGAUGAAGAACGCAGCGAAUUGCGAUAAGUAAUGUGAAUUGCAGAAUUCAGUGAAUCAUCGAAUCUUUGAACGCAGCUUGCGCUCUCUGGUAUUCCGGAGAGCAUGCCUGUUUCAGUGUCGUGAAAUCUCAACCACUAGGGUUUCCUAAUGGAUUGGAUUUGGGCGUCUGCGAUCUCUGAUCGCUCGCCUUAAAAGAGUUAGCAAGUUUGACAUUAAUGUCUGGUGUAAUAAGUUUCGCUGGGUCCAUUGUGUUGAAGCGUGCUUCUACUCGUCCGCAAGGACAAUUACUUUGACUCUGGCCUGAAAUCAGGUAGGACUACCCGCUGAACUUAAGCAUAUCAAUAAGCGGAGG
rnacentral:rRNA from 1 species